ACACUUACUUGGCAGGGAAGACCCAGGACCAACGAAGGUGGUUUUCCCAGGGAAAGGCAUAUCCAUUGCACUCUGGAUGUACUGAUCCCUGUGAUUUCCCCAAAUGGGGGAAACUCAACUGCAUAAUUUGUGGUGGUGAGAGACUGCAUUGGAGUUCUUC
rnacentral:snRNA from 1 species